AGUUCGCUAACGCGUGAAGGCGAGCACUCUAGACGAACUGCCGUUGACAAAACGGAGGAAGGUGGGAUGACGUCAAAUCAUCAUGCCCCUUAUGUUCUGGGCUACACACGUGCUACAAUGGCCGGUACAGACGGACGCAAAGCCGCGAGGUGGAGCAAAUCCUAAAAAGCCGGUCUCAGUUCGGAUUGCAGGCUGCAAUUCGCCUGCAUGAAGUCGGAAUCGCUAGUAAUCGCAGGUCAGCAUACUGCGGUGAAUACGUUCCCGGGCCUU
rnacentral:rRNA from 1 species